rnacentral:rRNA from 1 species
UACAGAGGGGGCAAGCGUUGUUCGGAAUUACUGGGCGUAAAGAGCUCGUAGGCGGCUUGUUGCGUCGACCGUGAAAACCCGGGGCUUAACUUCGGGCUUGCGAUCGAUACGGGCAGGCUAGAGUUCGGUAGGGGAGACUGGAAUCCUGGUGUAGCGGUGAAAUGCGCAGAUAUCAGGAGGAACACCGGUGGCGAAGGCGGCAUCCUGGACCGGUAUUGACGCUGAUGCGCGAAGCCAGGGAGCAAACGGG